rnacentral:rRNA from 1 species
AUUGAACGCUGGCGGCAGGCCUAACACAUGCAAGUCGAGCGAGCGGCGGACGGUUGAUUAAUGUCUGGGAAACUGCCUGAUGGAGGGGGAUACCUACUGGAAACGGUAGCUAAUACCGCAUACUAUCAGAUGUGCCCAGAUGGGAUUAGCUAGUAGGUGGGGUAAUGGCUCACCUAGGCGACGAUCCCUAGUUGGUCUGAGAGGAAGACCAGCCACACUGGAACUGAGACACGGUCCAGACUCCUACGGGAGGAAGCAGUGGGGAAUAUUGCACAAUGGGCGCAAGCCUGAUGCAGCCAUGCCGCGUGUAUGAAGAAGGCCGUCGGGUUGUAAAGUACUUUCAGCGAGGAGGCGUUACUCGCAGAAGAAGCACCGGCUAACUCCGUGCCAGCAGCCGCGGUAAUUC